ACUCCUACGGGAGGCAGCAGUGGGGAAUAUUGCACAAUGGGCGCAAGCCUGAUGCAGCAACGCCGCGUGAGUGAUGAAGGCCUUCGGGUCGUAAAGCUCUGUCCUCAAGGAAGAAUAAAUGACGGUACUUGAGGAGGAAGCCCGGCUAACUACGUGCCAGCAGCCGCGGUAAUACGUAGGGGGCAAGCGUUAUCCGGAAUCACUGGGGCGUAAAGGGGUGCGUAGGCGGUUUUCAAGUCAGAAGUGAAAGGCUAUGGCUCAACCAUAGUAAGCUUUUGAAACUGUUAAACUUGAGUGCAGGAGAGGAAAGUGGAAUUCCUAGUGUAGAGGUGAAAUUCGUAGAUAUUAGGAGGAACACCAGUGGCGAAGGCGACUUUCUGGACUGUAACUGACGCUGAGGCACGAAAGCGUGGGGAGCGAACAGGAUUAGAUACCCUGGUAACACAGG
rnacentral:rRNA from 1 species